UUUUCAAAAUCAAUUCAAGUCAAAAUCUAAAAGAAAGGUGUGGCUGAAUAUGCAGCAAACCAUUGCAGAGCUUACAAGAACAGAGCAUAGCAUGCUCUGUUUGUAGUUUGAACUCUGAAGUGUAGGAGAAGGAGAGAGAGAGAGAGAGAGAGUCAAACAAUGGCACACAAAACCCUCUUCAAACCAAGUCUCAUCCUCACACUCAGACUCAACAAAACGGCCAUUUCAUUCUCACACCAUCAUCCAUUUCGCCACUCGCAACCACCCUUUCCCUUCCUCAACACUAGUCCAAUCUCACUUCCUCCAACAACGAGAAUUACUAACUACACCCACUUAUGGUGCUCUAAUUACACCACCGUCAGCACCAUCGAGGAGGGUUCCGAAAAAUGCUACCUGAACCUCUCGGACGAGGAGCUCAUGCGGCAGUGCGAAAUGGACACGUUUAAGGCCUCGGGACCAGGUGGUCAGCACCGUAACAAGCGUGAGUCCGCAGUGCGCCUCAAACACCUACCCACAGGAAUCAUUGCUCAGGCUUCAGAAGAUCGCUCCCAGCACAAGAACCGCGCUUCAGCGAUUAAUCGCCUUCGCUCUCUUAUAGCUCUCAAAGGAAAACAGUGGAUCUUGAAGCUUAUUCACCACCUCGAGAGCUUCUUCAGAUAUUGCCUCCUAAAUCAUCCAUUAGAGGGUCAGAUUGUGGUUCACAAAUCGGACCUAAUAAUCCAAAGUUUGCAUCGGGAAUGCAAGCUCUUUUGGAUCUCAUUUUUGCAGUUGAGGGGUCUGUCUCAGAAGCUGCAAAAUAUCUUGGGUAUUUGAUAUAUGCUUAAAGUUAUCCACUGGGGCACUGUCUCGGUUAAUCCUAUCUGAUGAUUCACUUAGAAAGGAAGUAAACGAUCUGCGGGCAACAAAGGGUAUGAAGCCUCUCAAGUAGAAGCACUCAACUUUUCAUUCCUUAUGCAGAAGAAAAUUCUUUGAACCUGUAUGAGGCAUUUUCUUCAUUAAAGAAUUGAGGUAGACAAUGAAAAAUACCGAAGCUAUUGACAAGAAAGGGGGCAGGUUGCUGAAUUUUCAGAUUGUAGAGAACUCAUUCUACAAAACUCAAUGAGUAUGUUGUAGAAAGCUGGUGCCUUAAGGUGUACUAGAGGAGCAUUGAUUGAGAUCACAACCAAAAAUAGAAGAUGCAUUUUUCUGUAGAUCUUUUCAAACAAAAUAAAUUUCUUGGUUUUCUGGCUCUGUAUACAGUUUUUUAUUUUUUUUCUUGUUUAUGCCAAACAUCAAAUUAAGUUUGACAACGUGAGAUACAGGAUGCAGAUAUUUGUAGCUUUUAUUUUUUUUUUAAAAAAAUUAUAUUUAUCAAUUUCUUGAUUUUUUUA